rnacentral:lncRNA from 1 species
AGCAAAAAUAUAGACUUUCGGAGAAUAUUUUAGCUGUUUACUAUCAAAUAUGUUUGUGAAACAGUUAAUAAUCUCACUGAGGAAGGCCAACGGUUUCUGAAAAGCUAAAGUACGUCGAAAUCAGCUUUGGAAUAGACUAUAUUUUCACCGGGGAAACAUGAACAAAAUGGAUAUUUACAUCGACACUAAAUUUUGCUGGUGCCUACAGAGCUAGUUGGGUUAAAACAGAUGUUAAGAAG